rnacentral:piRNA from 1 species
UCCUAUGUUCAGAUGUAUAAUGGCCCC